GACGAACGCUGGCGGCGCGCUUAACACAUGCAAGUCGAACGGAAAGGCCUGCUUUCCCUUGUGGAUUGCGGGUACUCGAGUGGCGAACGGGUGAGUAACACGUGAGUGAUCUGCCCCCAACUUGGGUAUAAGCCUGGGAAACUGGGUCUAAUUCCCGAUAGGACUGCAGGGUGGUGCCUGUGGUGGAAAACGAUUUUCUAGUGGUUGGGGAUGAGCUCGCGGCCUAUCAGCUUGUUGGUGGGGUAAUGGCCUACCAAGGCGGCGACGGGUAGCCGGCCUGAGAGGGUGGACGGCCACAUUGGGACUGAGAUACGGCCCAGACUCCUACGGGGGGCAGCAGUGGGGAAUAGUGCACAAUGGGCGGAAGCCUGAUGCAGCGACGCCGCGUGGGGGAUGACGGCCUUCGGAUUGUAAACUCCUUUCGACCGCGAGGAAGCCACCUGGUUGGAAGGGUGGUGACAGUAGUGGUAGAAGAAGCACCGGCUAACUACGUG
rnacentral:rRNA from 1 species